CUACUACUCCCUCUGUCUGAAAAUACUUGUCAUUGAAAUGGAUGUAUCUAGAUGUAUUUUAGUUCUAGACACAUCCAUUUUGAUGACAAGUAAUUUCGGACGGAGGGAGUAUUAU
rnacentral:pre_miRNA from 1 species